CUCCACCACCGCACAGCAAAAGACCUGUAGCAUCCCCGCCGGACAGCGGCUAGGGUCACAGUGGGUUCAAUUCACUGGGCAAAAACUAGGAAACACCCUGGACAGGUUGCCAGUCCAUCACAAGUGACUGCAGAUCACCAUGUGAGGACAUCUUACAUUUCCUUCUGUUUACCUCCUGUCCCCCAAUCUGGCACACUUUCUUUUGCUGAUUUGUGCACAAAAAGUAGGAGAAUAAGAGCUCUGUGUGAAAGUUUAUGUAACGUUCUGUGUAAAUGUGCUCAUGUGGAGAAUGAGACGGCAGGAGGUUUCCCUUGUGCUGACAAAACAAAUACACUGUUCAAUAAAUCACAGAAGUGGCUAUCCUUAGACGCUCAUCAGCAGCACUGCCACACAUAUGGAGACCUAAACAAUAAAAACAAUGGAUAUA